GUAUGGUAAUUAAUUAAUUAAACGAUUCAAACUGGAGGAAAUCAUUAAAUUUUAUAAUUUAUAUAAGUAUGAUAGGAGGAAAGAACAGCGGUACAAGUGGUAUUCACUUGUCCACCUUUUAAAAAUUAAUUUGAUUUUUUUAAAAACUUACUACCUAUUAUUUUUGCUAUCGUUUGUAGGAGUUAACACUUUCUUUUGCAGGAGUUAAUACUAUGUCUAUGUAGGAGAUUACCUACAUUUGUAGGAGUUUACUAUUCCCCAAUUUGUCUACCCAGUCACAUGACCCAUAUAUCGACGAUAUAUAUAAAGGGGCUCGAAAACCAGACCAAAUGUUGACAUUCAAAAAAACAUUCAAAAAACCCUCACUGACGACAGAUGGUUAAAUCUUUUGUGCCACUCACCAAAAUAUUGUUAAUUGUUUUCCUAUGGGAAUAAAUAAAAUAAUGAGUUUUCACAUGGCCACUUAGAACUUCUCUGAAAAGUAAAAUUACCUAGUUAUCGCACCGGAUAAAAUAUUGUUUUAAAUAAUAAAGUUGUUUUACUUUUCCUUAUAGAGCAUCAUCUUCUCGAAAAUUAUAAGAUAAAACAAAGGUUCACAGCUUUAGAAGAAGGAAAUGGCCAAGUGGAUCAAAAGUAUUAUGAUUUGAUGAAAAAUUGUCGGGCUCUUAGUGGAGAAGUUGACUAUGAAGUAUACGUAAUGAGACUAAUUAAUACCGGAUGCAGACCAUUAGGUGAACCAGAGUGGGAAAUAGAAUUAAAAGAUACAGGAGAAACUAAUGCUGUCGCUAUACUUCAAGGGUCAGGUAAAAAUAAGAUACAGUAAACGCCAAAUUUGUUGGUAGUACGGAAAUUAUCAAGGAUAUUUAGUUUAUAACUGAUUAAAAAAAUAUAAUGUAUCACUUCAUGUUAAAAAUUGUAAAUUUUUGAUUUUGUUAUUACAAUUAUUUAACAUAUUUUUUAUAUAACAAUUGUGCUUAUAUAAUAGAAUCAAUAAAUCUAAUAAAAUACGAUAUAUUUUCGAAAG